rnacentral:rRNA from 1 species
AUUGAACGCUGGCGGCAUGCCUUACACAUGCAAGUCGAACGAUAACGGGCCUUCGGGUGCCGACGAGUGGCGAACGGGUGAGUAAUGUAUCGGAACGUACCUUUCAGUGGGGGAUAACGUAGCGAAAGUUACGCUAAUACCGCAUAUUCUGUGCGCAGGAAAGCAGGGGACCUUCGGGCCUUGCGCUGAUUGAGCGGCCGAUAUCAGAUUAGCUAGUUGGUGAGGUAAAGGCUCACCAAGGCGACGAUCUGUAGCGGGUCUGAGAGGAUGAUCCGCCACACUGGAACUGAGACACGGUCCAGACUCCUACGGGAGACAGCAGUGGGGAAUUUUGGACAAUGGGGGCAACCCUGAUCCAGCCAUGCCGCGUGAGUGAAGAAGGCCUUCGGGUUGUAAAGCUCUUUCGGCCGGGAAGAAAUCGUAUCAGCUAAUACCUGGUGCGGAUGACGGUACCGGCAUAAGAAGCACCGGCUAACUACGUGCCAGCCGCCGCCGUAAUAC